ensembl:snRNA U6 U6 spliceosomal RNA
UUCACAACUUUGUGUGCACAAAUACUAAAAUUGGAACGACAGAGAUUAGCCUGGCCCCUGAGCAAGGAUGACACGCAAAAUAAAAAUUAAAAGGAAAAAAGUUUU